GACGAACGCUGGCGGCGUGCCUAACACAUGCAAGUCGAGCGGAGAGGCCCUAUUUUUGUUGGGUGCUCGAGUGGCGAACGAGGGGGUAGCACGUGAGUCACCUGCCCCUGACAAUGUGAUAACUUCAAGAAACUGGGGCUAAUACCGGCUAUGAGCUCCUGCUGCAUUGAGGGGGUUGGAAAGUUUCGGCGGGUGGGGAUGGACUCGCGGCUUAUCAGCUUGUUGGUGGGGUAGUGGGUUACCAAGGCUUUGACGGGUAGCCGGCCUGGGAGGGUGACCGGCCACAUUGGGACUGAGAUACGGCCCAGAGUCCUACGGGAGGAAGCAGUGGGGGAUAUGGCACAAUGGGCGGAAGCCUGAUGCAGCAACGACGAGGGCGGGAUGACGGGCGUCGGGUUGUAAACCGCUGUCGCCUGUGACGUGGCGGGAGAGACGGGAAUGGGUAUAGUAGCACCGGCUAACUACGUG
rnacentral:rRNA from 1 species